CCUAGGGGAGGCAGCAGUGAGGAAUAUUGGUCAAUGGACGGAAGUCUGAACCAGCCAAGUAGCGUGCAGGAUGACGGCCCUAUGGGUUGUAAACUGCUUUUAUACAGGAAUAAAGUUAGCCACGUGUGGUUAUUUGUAGGUACUGUAUGAAUAAGGACCGGCUAAUUCCGUGCCAGCAGCCGCGGUAAU
rnacentral:rRNA from 1 species